CUGUUACUCGCUAAAAUUAACAUGUUAUAACAUAUUUUAACAUUACAAUGUUUUAUAACUCUUUUAGAUAUGUCAGCAACAUUUUUUUUGGUAGAUUUGAAUUGGUUACAUUUGAUGUAAUAACAAAAUAUUAAAUGCAAGUAGUGAGAUAAUUUUUUCUUCUUUCUAGUUUCUUAGCCAUUCAAAACAGUUUACGUAAAGAAAUUAUUUUAAUAAAUAAUGUUCUAUCACUCUUAUAACAUGUAAGAAGUUAAAAUUAAGUUUGAAAUCAC
rnacentral:lncRNA from 1 species